rnacentral:rRNA from 1 species
AACGUAGGAGACAAACGUUAUCCGGAGUUACUGGGCGUAGAGGGCGUGUAGGUGGUUUCGUAAGUCUGGCGUGAAAUAUCUCGGCUUAACCGAGGCAGGUCGUCGGAUACUGCGGGACUAGAGGACGGUAGAGGCGUGUGGAAUUCCGGGUGUAGUGGUGAAAUGCGUAGAGAUCCGGAGGAACACCAGUGGCGAAGGCGACACGCUGGGCCGUACCUGACACUGAUGCGCGACAGCAUGGGGAGCAAACAGG